rnacentral:rRNA from 1 species
AUUGAACGCUGGCGGCAGGCCUAACACAUGCAAGUCGAGCGGAUGAAGGGAGCUUGCUCCUGGAUUCAGCGGCGGACGGGUGAGUAAUGCCUAGGAAUCUGCCUGGUAUUGGGGGAUAACGUCCGGAAACGGGCGCUAAUACCUCCUACGUCCUGAGGGAGAAAGUGGGGGAUCUUCGGACCUCACGCUAUCAUAUGAGCCUAGGUCGGAUUAGCUAGUUGGUGGGGUAAAGGCCUACCAAGGCGACGAUCCGUAACUGGUCUGAGAGGAUGAUCAGUCACACUGGAACUGAGACACGGUCCAGACUCCUACGGGAGGCAGCAGUGGGGAAUAUUGGACAAUGGGCGAAAGCCUGAUCCAGCCAUGCCGCGUGUGUGAAGAAGGUCUUCGGAUUGUAAAGCACUUUAAGUUGGGAGGAAGGGCAGUAAGUUAAUACCUUGCUGUUUUGACGUUACCAACAGAAUAAGCACCGGCUAACUUCGUG